ACAGGGAAAUAGCUUACAAGUACCAUCCAGACAUAUACCAAGGAGACAAGGAAAUAGGAAAUAUGUAUUGGCUGACUUUCACGAAAGCGAAAACUUCUCUUAUCGAACUAGUGAAUGCACUUUCAAUACGACCUAAAAACACCACAGCAUGAAUGUAUUCGAUAAAUUCAAUGUAGAGUCAACAUUUUUGCGAUUUUUACUUCAUCGUCUUCAUUUUAAGAUUUUAAAUGUUAUUGCUGACGAGUUUAAAGGCGAUUAAAUCAACGGCGUCUGUAUGUAUUAUUAAGUAUUAAUUUACAUUUUUUUUGUUUUGUUAAAUGCGUUUUAUUGAGGUA